rnacentral:rRNA from 1 species
GACGAACGCUGGCGGCGUGCUUAACACAUGCAAGUCGAACGGUGAAGCGCCUUCCUUUUUGGUGGGUGUGGAUGAGUGGCGAACGGGGGGGUAACACGUGAGGAACCUGCCCCCUCCUUCUGGAUAACCGCAUGAAAGUGUGGCUAAUACGGGAUAUUCUGGGCCUGUGGCAUCAUGGGUUUGGGAAAGAUUUUGUUUCGGUGUGGGAUGGGCUCGGGGACUAUCAGCUGGUUGGUGGGGGGGUGGCCUACCAAGGCGGUGCCGGGUGGCCGGCCUGGGAGGGUCGGCGGUCAUGCUGGGAAUGAGCGACGGCGCAGACUACUACGGGAAGCAGCAGUGAAGAAUAUUGAACGAUGGGCGGAAGGCUGAUGCCGCGACGCCGCGUGAGGGAUGGCGUCCUGGGGGUUAUGACCCUCUUUCGGGAGUGAAGCAGGCCUGCCUCGUUUGUGGGUGGGUUGACGGUAGCUGGAUAAGAAGCGCCGGCUAACUACGUG